rnacentral:rRNA from 1 species
ACGUAGGGGGCAAGCGUUAUCCGGAAUUAUUGGGCGUAAAGAGUGCGUAGGUGGUUUUCUAAGCGUGAGGUUUAAGGCAGCGGCUUAACUGCUGUUCGCCUUGCGAACUGGGAGACUUGAGUGCAGGAGGGGAAAGCGGAAUUCCUAGUGUAGCGGUGAAAUGCGUAGAUAUUAGGAGGAACACCAGCGGCGAAGGCGGCUUUCUGGACUGCAACUGACACUGAGGCACGAAAGCGUGGGGAGCAAACAG